UGUAAUCCCAGCCCUUUGGGAAACUGAGGCGGGUAGAUCAGCUGAAGUCAAGAGUUCGAGACCAGCCUGGCCAACAUGGUAAAACCCCAUCUCUACUAAGAAACACAAAAAUUAGCUGGGUGUGGUGGUGAGUGCCUGUAGUCCCAAGUCUGAGGUCAUAAGCAGGGCCACAGGUGGGACAAUGAGAGACAUAAGCUGGGGGUGGGGCUUGGCUGGAAGGCAUUGAAGAGACCAUAAAUAGCGGGCAGGAGAGGGCUGGUUUGUCACAGCAGCAGUGCCUGGUGGCAGUGGCCCAACAGGCUGAAGGAGGCAUGUGGGAUAGGACUGAAGUUUGGAGAGGAGGCUGCAUGAAAGGUGCAGCACAUGGCCAGAGCAAAGAAGAACCUCUACUUCCUCAUGCCUACCACCGACCAGUCAGAGAAACAGUGGACCCUGACGGAGCAGAGAGGCUUCCGGAAGUCCUAGGUGCUGGGGACACAAAGACAAGCAAAACAGGCAGGUUCCUUCGCUUGUGAAGCCUACACUCUAUGGGGAAGUCUGACAUUCAACACAGAACCCCACCAAUGGCUGCACAACUGCAGACUGAGCCAAAUUAUUAGGCGUGAGGACAGAAUGAAUAAGUCUGCAGAUAUUCACAGUCUCAAAACUGUCACCUCCCACACCCUCUUUCCAAGAAACUACUGGAGUAGGUGGUCCACCAAAAGAAUGGAGCAAAAUCAAGAAAGAGGAAAAGAAAUCCAACAAGAAGAGAGGUGAGGAGAACCCUGAAGUGAUGAUGAAGGAGAGCCCAGGGUCAGAGGUGGACUCACUGUGAAGCCCCAGAAGCCUCAUCAGGUUCCUGCACUUCCACAGGCCCCUGGAAUGAGUGCAUGAGUACUGGGGUUGUAGCAGGUCCUAGGCAGAAGCCAGGCUGCAGGCCAGACUGCCUGAGACCUCAGAAGAGAGGUUCCUGAGCUGCCAAGGGACCUGAAAAGCCAGGAAUUUACUGAUUUAUCGUAUCAAAAUAAAUAAAAUAUACCUAAUUUUUUCUUUUCUUUCUUUUUUUUUUGGUCAAUCAAUGAG